AUUGAACGCUGGCGGCAGGCCUAACACAUGCAAGUCGAACGAGUGGCGGACGGGUGAGUAAUGUCUGGGAAACUGCCCGAUGGAGGGGGAUAACUACUGGAAACGGUAGCUAAUACCGCAUACCAUCGGAUGUGCCAAGAUGGGAUUAUCUUGUAGGUGAGGUAACGGAUCACCUAGGCGACGAUCCCUAGCUGGUUUGAGCGGAUGACCAGACCAAAGGGAACGGAGACACGGUCCAGACUCCUACGGGAGGAAGCAUGGGGGAAUAUUGCAAAUUGUGCGCAAGCCUGAUGAGGCCCUGCCGGGUGGAUGAAGAAGGCCUUGGGGUUGUAAAUUACUUUCAGCGGGGAGGCGUUACCCGAAGAAGAAGCAACGGCUAACUCCGUGCCAGCCGCCGCGGUAAUAC
rnacentral:rRNA from 1 species